CAGCUGGUGACUGAGUAUUUAUCUCUAUGGCAGUUAUUCAAGCAGAGGACAAAUGCAGUUCACACAGAAGCAAUGCAGAGUGUGUAAGCUGCUGUUCCUAUACUUAUUUGAAAUCAAAUUUCAGACUGCAGUGUCUACAUCAGCUUCAUCAUAAAGCUCCGGGUGAAUAUUUAAAUAUGUCUGCACACGAAUUACAACAUUUAUGGGCAUUCUUACAGAGAGUGUUCCUGAUGAUAUUUCUGGAAAAGCAGUCCCAUAUACAGCAGAUAACAGUCUGAUAACCGCCAUGAUAACGUGUAGAGGUGGAAGAUGAGAAUAAAGUCAAACAGCCUGAUAUUUCAGAGGUUUCACGUGGUGAAAAUGCUUAGAAACUUGGUCAAGAAACACUGUGCUAGUGGAAGAGGACAGCCAUGCUAAGCUGGGAUGAUUAAAAAGGACAGAAGAGCAUAAUGUAUUGAUGACACUUCUUUGGAAAUCUGCACAGGUGUGACUCCAAAGCACAGACAUUAGCCAAAGACAAGAGCUUUGUCACUGUAGGAAUGUCUGAUACCUAGAAUCUCUGUUCUCCAGCUAUGUGAACUGAUGAAAAAUCAGUCCUUUGAGACUGUUGUCACCAAAGCAGAAAUUAAUAACAAACAAGAGUUCAGCUUUAAACUCUUGUGAAACUGAGUAUUUAGGAUCCAUUGAUGGGAUCUAAAUGCUUAUCAUAGCAUUCAUCAAGCAUCAUUCUCUUCUGCGUCAUCCAGAUGUUGGGUUCAUCAUCUAUAGAAGAGGUUAUGGUUAUACAAAUCAUUGUCAGUCCAUCUGGCAGCUCCACAAACUUUAUUGCAGAGUAGCCAAAAAUUAACCUGAAACCACAAUCAGUUUUACUCUGAAGAGAUCUUAGUUAACUUCAGUAUCCUAAAUUAUGAAAUUGUUUUUUAGAGAGAACUCUUAAGCCCAUGUAGCUGUAAAAUGACUCUAGCAUGUGAUUGUGAAAUUGUGAAAAUAUGGGAAAGCAUUUUAGUGAAGGCUGAGGAAGAGAAUACUCUUCAUGUAAAGAAGAAGCCAAAGAAGGGGACGACUGUCAGAGCAAAACAGGUACCACUCCUGCCUCCAGUGCAGAUUAAGUAGGAAGUGAAUCAGCACACCACUGGUUCUGGAGGAUGAUAGUUGUGAUCUGAAGAACUUGUAGGCAUCCAAAGGAAGCCACUUUGGGUUAAAUCUGAUGCUGUUUUUAAAGCAUUUCCAAAUCUUGCUGAUAAAGACUGAGUUUGCUCCAUGAGGGCCUUGCAGGCAAAAGUGAGGGUUGUCUUUCCAUGACAUUGUCAUAUGAUGGAGAUACUACGAAAUGGAUUUGUUUUGUCUGGUUUUGUUUGUUUGUUUUUUAAAUAUACUCCCUUUAAUUAACUUUGGACUGGCAUUGACGUGAGCUUUGGAAAUAUUUUUCUGUAUCAUUUUUGCACUAGUAAGCCUACACAUUCUGGUCGCUUCUGAAAAUACAAAA